rnacentral:rRNA from 1 species
UACGUAGGGUGCAAGCGUUGUCCGGAAUUACUGGGCGUAAAGGGCUCGUAGGCGGCCAACUAAGUCGGAUGUGAAAUCCCCAGGCUCAACUUGGGAACUGCAUCCGAUACUGGAUGGCUUGAAUUCGGGAGAGGGAUGCAGAAUUCCAGGUGUAGCGGUGAAAUGCGUAGAUAUCUGGAGGAAUACCGGUGGCGAAGGCGGCAUCCUGGACCGACAUUGACGCUGAGGAGCGAAAGCUAGGGGAGCAAACGGGG